AUUGAACGCUGGCGGCAUGCCUAACACAUGCAAGUCGAGCGGAGCACCGGACGGGGGAGUAAUACCUAGGAAUCUGCCUGGUACUGGUGGAUAACGUCCGGUAACGGACACUAAUACCGAAUACUCUCAGCUUAGCCUAGGUCGGGUUGGCUAGUGGGUGGGGUAAGGGCCUACCAAGGCGACGAUCCCUAACUGGUCUGAGAGGAUGAGCAGCCACACUGGAACUGAGACACGGUCCAGACUCCUACGGGAGGCAGCAGUGGGGAAUAUUGGACAAUGGGCGAAAGCCUGAUCCAGCCAUGCCGCGUGUGUGAAGAAGGUCUUCGGAUUGUAAAGCACUUUCAGUUGGGAGGCGUUACCAACAGAAUAAGCACCGGCUAACUUCGUGCCAGCAGCCGUGGUAAUUC
rnacentral:rRNA from 1 species